GGUUGCGAUCAUACCAGCACUGAUGCACCGGAUCCCAUCAGAACUCCGCAGUUAAGCGUGCUUGGGCGAGAGUAGUACUAGGAUGGGUGACCCCCUGGGAAGUCCUCGUGUUGCAACCC
rnacentral:rRNA from 1 species